CUUUGACUGACAGACGCUCACUCACUGACCAACACAUACACACUCACUGACGGACACACACACCCACUCAUUGACAAACAGUGGCAUGCACACCCACUCACUGAUUUGACACACUGAUAGACAGACACACACACACACUCACCGACCGACACACAGACUCACACUCACUGACAGACUCACGCACUCACUGACCGACACACACACACACACACAGACAC